CCUACGGGGAGCAGCAGUGAGGAAUAUUGGACAAUGGACGGAAGUCGGAACCAGCCAUGCCGCGUGCAGGAAGACGGCUCUAUGAGUUGUAAACUGCUUUUGUACAAGGGUAAACCUGAAUACGUGUACUCCUCUGAAUGUACUGUACGAAUAAGGAUCGGCUAACUCCGUGCCAGCAGCCGCGGUAAUACGGAGGAUCCAAGCGUUAUCCGGAUUUAUUGGGUUUAAAGGGUGCGUAGGCGGGUUGCUAAGUUAGGGGUGAAAUGUCCGAGCUUAACUCGGGAACUGCCUCUGAUACUGUUGAUCUAGAGGGUAGGUGCGGUAGGCGGAAUGUGUGGUGUAGCGGUGAAAUGCUUAGAGAUCA
rnacentral:rRNA from 1 species